ACUCCUACGGGAGGCAGCAGUAAGGAAUAUUGGGCAAUGGGCGCGAGCCUGACCCAGCCAUGCCGCGUGCAGGAAGACGGCCUUAUGGGUUGUAAACUGCUUUUAUAUGGGAAUAACCUACCCCACGUGUGGGGUACUGUAUGUACCAUAAGAAUAAGCAUCGGCUAACUCCGUGCCAGCAGCCGCGGUAAUACGGAGGAUGCAAGCGUUAUCCGGAAUCAUUGGGUUUAAAGGGUGCGUAGGCGGAUAAGUAAGUCAGUGGUGAAAUACCCGUGCUCAACAUGGGAGCUGCCAUUGAUACUGUUUAUCUAGAGUUUAGUUGACGUUGGCGGAAUGUGUCAUGUAGCGGUGAAAUGCAUAGAGAUGACACAGAACACCGAUAGCGAAGGCAGCUGACGAAACUAAAACUGACGCUGAGGCACGAAAGCGUGGGGAUCAAACAGGAUUAGAUACCCUUGUAGUCC
rnacentral:rRNA from 1 species